AAAACUCAUGCUGUUGAAUGCAAGAUCAAGAACUGUUGAAUUUUGACCUCAGCACUGAUCUUCUGCUCUACCCUGACCUGCAUUAAGAAAAUCGGAUCAGAUGAUGCCAGCUAGACAAACUCAGUCCACUGGGUUUGAAAAGGCAGGGAGAGAAGGCAGCUCAGUGCUCUGUCGCUGCAGCUCAGCUGGAGCAGGCAGGGACAGGGGAUGCUGAAGCACAGCUCUUUCCUCCCUGCCACCACAUCAAGCAGCCUCACCAGAACCUCCCAUCUGUGGGUCUGCAGGGCCACGGACAGCCUCAGCCCUCCCUCAAGAUUAAAGUGCCGACGCUUACCCUACAUGCCAACUGAAGAAGGUUUGAUCCGGAAAAAAAAGCCAGUCGUCUGGGUAGUACUUGGGAACCAUUGCCAUGAGAAGAGCUCAAAAGUUAAAUGAAAAAAAUGUAUAUGUGAAGAUUCAAAAGUUUCUGACAAUAUUUCAGUGAAUUUUUUUGGUGAAUCCUUUUGAGAGAGGAGGUUAUUUAUAUCGGGAAGAAGAAAACUGCUUUGGAGACUGCCUGUCCAAUGCAAACCAGUGGACUAAUGGUGACUAACUCUCAUUUUAGAUGAAGUUACAUAUUUGGAGAAGAUUUUCCAAAUGGGGCAGCACUUCUGUAUUUCUGGAUAUUGUCCCAGAAGCAGCCUGAAGUCUCUGCAAGGAUUUAGACCAGCAAGAAUCAUAAUCCAGAGAAGACAAUUGUAUUUCAAGAUAUGCUGCAAUCCGCUUUACUAUUUAAAAUACUUUUUCUCAAAAAAUUUGAUUGCAUUUUAAUGAGUCUUUGGUUAAAGGAUGCAGCUCACUGUUCAACCACAUUAAAUUUAUAGUUGAUAUAUUCAAUAGUAGUAAGAUGCUUACUUCUAAAAAGAAUCUAAACAUCUUAACUUAAUGGGAAAAUAUAGAACCUAUCUGGAAAAUGUUUGUUCAAGUACAUUAGAAAUUACUUUAUGAUAGUAAAAAUUCCUGAAAGUAAAUUUUCUUUCAGGAUGUUUUUAAAGUGGGCCAUAUAUUCUGAUAUUCAGAAUACCCACAAAUAUGCUGUCCAUAAAGAUG
rnacentral:lncRNA from 1 species